rnacentral:rRNA from 1 species
AUUGAACGCUGGCGGAAUGCUUUACACAUGCAAGUCGAGCGGCAGCGCGGGGCAACCUGGCGGCGAGCGGCGAACGGGUGAGUAAUACAUCGGAACGUGCCCAGACGUGGGGGAUAACUACUCGAAAGAGUGGCUAAUACCGCAUACGAUCUACGGAUGAAAGCGGGGGAUCGCAAGACCUCGCGCGCCUGGAGCGGCUGAUGGCAGAUUAGGUAGUUGGUGGGAUAAAAGCCUACCAAGCCAACGAUCUGUAGCUGGUCUGAGAGGAUGAUCAGCCACACUGGGACUGAGACACGGCCCAGACUCCUACGGGAGGCAGCAGUGGGGAAUUUUGGACAAUGGGCGAAAGCCUGAUCCAGCCAUUCCGCGUGCAGGAUGAAGGCCCUCGGGUUGUAAACUGCUUUUGUACAGAACGAAAAAGCUCUGGCUAAUACCUGGAGUCCAUGACGGUACUGUAAGAAUAAGCACCGGCUAACUACGUGCCAGCA